rnacentral:rRNA from 1 species
CAGUCGCCACGGGAAUACGAAGGGGGCUAGCGUUGCUCGCAAUCACUGGGCGUAAAGGGCGCGUAGGCGGCGUUUUAAGUCGGGGGUGAAAGCCUGUGGCUCAACCACAGAAUGGCCUUCGAUACUGGGACGCUUGAGUAUGGUAGAGGUUGGUGGAACUGCGAGUGUAGAGGUGAAAUUCGUAGAUAUUCGCAAGAACACCGGUGGCGAAGGCGGCCAACUGGACCAUUACUGACGCUGAGGCGCGAAAGCGUGGGGAGCAAACAGGAUUAGAUACCCCAGUAGUCCCUGUCUCUUAUAC